AACAGAUAAUACAUCACCUUCUUUUCAGCAAGAAGGUCAUGCCAUUGUUGACUUUAGAUAUGAAGAGAAUUCAAAAGUGUCUCGAAUGAAUGAAGAUUCUCCACAAACUGAGAGUUUUUCUGAAAGAACAGAAGGAGACGGUAGUUUGGAUAAGCUUCGUGAUGCUCUACCUAGUUCCCAUCUUUCACUGGUUGAUGCAAAGCCUCCUGUUGGAAUGAUUUCUGAUGUUGGAGUGAAGAAGGCCAAAGUUCUCAAGCGCCCUUUGGGCGACUUGAGCUCUGAGAACUCUAUUAUAAAGGAAAAAAAGAAGAAAAAGAAGUUGGGUCCAGAAACAAGCCCUGAUCGUCCAAAGAAGCGUUUGGCCAUGGGAACAGGAGGGGCAUUAGUGGGGAAAUCUAGUCUAAUCAGUGCCUCUACCAGAGAGGAUCCUCAGGUAAUCCAUCAGAAGAAAGAUGUUGGCAUCAGUAAUGCCACAUUCAGUAGUGUGGGAAAUAUUGAGCUUGAGGUACCACAUCUAUUGAGUGAUUUGCAUGCUCUUGCUCGUGAUCCCUGUCAUGGUGCCGAAAGGAACAGUCUGAUUACAAUGCAGUUCUUUUUGCGAUUCCGGUCCUUUUUUUACCAGAAAAGCUUGGUUUCAUCACCUCCAUCUGAGAGUGAGCCCAUUGAAAUUCGUGCAACUAAAUCUCCAUCAACCGUUGGGGUUUCUGACAGUUCUGCUGAGAACGUCAGAGAUUUGUCAACUUCAAAACCUGUAAAAUCCAUAGCCAGACCAGAUGAUCCAACAAGAGUUGGACGGAAACGAUUGCCAUCUGAUCGUCAAGAAGAAAUUGUGGCAAGGAGAUUGAAAAAAA
rnacentral:misc_RNA from 1 species